UUUCCGUAGGUGAACCUGCGGAAGGAUCAUUACAGAGUUCAUGCCCUCACGGGUAGAUCUCCCACCCUUGAAUAUUUAUACCUUAGUUGCUUUGGCAGGCCGUGGAAACACCAUGGGCUCCGGCUUAUGCGUGCCUGCCAGAGGAAACAAACUCUGUUUUUAAUGAUGUCUGAGUACUAUAUAAUAGUUAAAACUUUCAACAACGGAUCUCUUGGUUCUG
rnacentral:misc_RNA from 1 species